UUGCUCACUUUGGCAGCACAUGUACUGAACCUGGAAUAAUACAGAGAAGAUUAACAUGGCCCCUGUGCAAGGAUGACAUACAAAUUGGUGAAAUAUUGCAUGUUUUU
rnacentral:snRNA from 1 species